GACGAACUGCCCAAACGUUGUUCGGAAUCACUGGGCUUAAAGGGCGCGUAGGCGGCUUACCAAGUCAGGGGUGAAAUCCGGCAGCUUAACUGUCGAAGUGCCUUUGAUACUGGUGAGCUCGAGGGAGGUAGGGGUCCGUGGAACUUCCGGUGGAGCGGUGAAAUGCGUUGAUAUCGGAAGGAACGCCGGUGGCGAAAGCGACGGACUGGAUCUCUUCUGACGCUGAGGCGCGAAAGCUAGGGGAGCAAACGGG
rnacentral:rRNA from 1 species